CCUGGCCUCAAGCGAGCCUCCUGCCUUGGCCUCCCAAAGUGCUGGUAUUACAGGCAUGGAGCCACCGCACCCAGCCUGGAGAUUACAUUUGUGAGAAAGGGGACAUUGUAUGAGAGACAGUGUCACAGUUUGGGAUGAUCAACUGCAAUCAGCUCAGUUCUGGCCAAGGAGGAAGGAUUCCCCAGGUAGAGGAAGAAGAAAAGGACCCUUCUGGAUGAAGAGACACAGGACUGGCCUGCAGUGUGGAGGCUGCACAAGCACCCACAGCUGGUACCCUCGCCAGGCCACUAUUUUCUAUGUGCCCCAGGAAGCAGGGCUGUCUGAUGAGUUGCUUGGGCAACAUAACACAUGUGCAACCCAUCAGGGAAGACAGAAACCUUGAGGAAAAAAGAAAGCUGCCCAGUCCUGAGUUUGUUAAUGCUGCCCCCUCCAGCUUUGGGGUUUUUUUUUUUUUUAAUUUAACACCUGUCUCCCUCAUUAGAAUAGAAGCUCUUUGAGGUCAGGAACUGUGUGUGUUCUGUCCAUAGGUAUAUUUAUAGCAUCUACAGCAGUUCCUCAUCUGUAGUAAAGGCCUAAUAAAUAUAUUUGUUGAGUGAAUGAAUCUGAGGAGAAAAACAUUUUUCUAAACCACCUUGUGCAGAGGAUCAGCAGGGCGUUAACACUCACCGAGCCUCUAUUGUGUUCUGGAGGCUCACGAGGCAGCUUGCCUCCCUCAGCUCACCCGCCUC
rnacentral:lncRNA from 1 species